rfam:Actinobacteria bacterium IMCC26256, complete genome.
GGGGGUGCGUGGCUUCGAUCUCGAGGAUCGAGGUGGGUGAAGCGAGCCGAGGUCGUCAGAUCCUCGUUAAAGAGCUGGCAAAAAUAAACACAUGCCGAGGACAACCUCGCACUAGCUGCCUAAGAAAUUAGUUAGCUCGUCUCUAACGGCCCCGCCAUUCGGCCGCCUUGGGACGUCAUCUUGAGUGGCUUACCGUCUAGUUGCGCCUCAGGGCUGGACGGAACAUCUAAUGAGGCUGGGGUUACUGCAGUGCCGCCGGUGAGCGGUGGUGGCCCGAGAUCAAUCACCGGCUCCGCUCGGAGAAGCCCCACCAACAGCUCGGGAGACGCGGGUUCGACCCCCGCCACCUCCACCG